AAUUUGAAAGCUGGCUCCGGCCCGCGUUGUAAUUUGCAGAGGAUGCUUCUGGCGAGGUGCCUUCCGAGUUCCCUGGAACGGGACGCCAUAGAGGGUGAGAGCCCCGUAUGGAUGGACACCAAACCUGUGUGAAGCUCCUUCAACGAGUCGAGUAGUUUGGGAAUGCUGCUCUAAAUGGGAGGUAAAUCUCUUCUAAAGCUAAAUACCGGCCAGAGACCGAUAGCGCACAAGUAGAGUGAUCGAAAGAUGAAAAGCACCUUGAAAAGGGGGUUAAACAGUACGUGAAAUUGUUGAAAGGGAAGCGCUUGUGACCAGACUUGCGCCGGGCAGCUCAUCAGGGGUUCUCCCCUGUGCACUCUGCCCGGCUCAGGCCAGCAUCGGUUCUCGUGGGAGGAUAAGAACGGUAGGAACGUGGCCCCCCUCCGGGGGGGUGUUAUAGCCUGCCGUACGAUACUCCCGUGGGGACCGAGGUUCGCGCUCCGCAAGGAUGCUGGCGUAAUGGUCAUCAGCGACCCG
rnacentral:rRNA from 1 species